GAGCCGACCUUGAAAUACCACCCUUUAAUGUUUGAUGUUCUAACGUUGACCCGUGAUCCGGGUUGCGGACAGUGUCUGGUGGGUAGUUUGACUGGGGCGGUCUCCUCCUAAAGAGUAACGGAGGAGCACGAAGGUUGGCUAAUCCUGGUCGGACAUCAGGAGGUUAGUGCAAUGGCAUAAGCCAGCUUGACUGCGAGCGUGACGGCGCGAGCAGGUGCGAAAGCAGGUCAUAGUGAUCCGGUGGUUCUGAAUGGAAGGGCCAUCGCUCAACGGAUAAAAGGUACUCCGGGGAUAACAGGCUGAUACCGCCCAAGAGUUCAUAUCGACGGCGGUGUUUGGCACCUCGAUGUCGGCUCAUCACAUCCUGGGGCUGAAGUAGGUCCCAAGGGUAUGGCUGUUCGCCAUUUAAAGUGGUACGCGAGCUGGGUUUAGAACGUCGUGAGACAGUUCGGUCCCUAUCUGCCGUGGGCGCUGGAGAACUGAGGGGGGCUGCUCCUAGUACGAGAGGACCGGAGUGGACGCAUCACUGGUGUUCGGGUUGUCAUGCCAAUGGCACUGCCCGGUAGCUAAAUGCGGAAGAGAUAAGUGCUGAAAGCAUCUAAGCACGAAACUUGCCCCGAGAUGAGUUCUCCCUGACUCCUUGAGAGUCCUGAAGGAACGUUGAAGACGACGACGUUGAUAGGCCGGGUGUGUAAGCGCAGCGAUGCGUUGAGCUAACCGGUACUAAUGAACCGUGAGGCUUAACCUU
rnacentral:rRNA from 1 species